rnacentral:rRNA from 2 species
GGAAUCAACGCUGGCGGCGUGCCUCAGACAUGCAAGUCGAACGCGAAAGUCCCCUUCGGGGGACAAGUAGAGUGGCGCACGGGUGAGUAACACGUAGGUAAUCUACCUUCGGAUGGGGAAUAACAACCGGAAACGGUUGCUAAUACCGCAUAAUGCAGCGGCACCUAAUGGUGACAGUUGUUAAAGCGGGGGAUCGAAAGACCUCGCGUCUGAAGAGGAGCCUGCGGCGGAUUAGCUAGUUGGUAAGGUAAUGGCUUACCAAGGCUACGAUCC